rnacentral:rRNA from 1 species
CCUACGGGGGGCUGCAGUGGGGAAUAUUGGACAAUGGGGGCAACCCUGAUCCAGCCAUGCCGCGUGUGUGAAGAAGGCCCUCGGGUUGUAAAGCACUUUCAGUGAGGAAGAACGCCUGGUGGUUAAUACCCAUCAGGAAAGACAUCACUCACAGAAGAAGCACCGGCUAACUCCGUGCCAGCAGCCGCGGUAAUACGGAGGGUGCGAGCGUUAAUCGGAAUUACUGGGCGUAAAGCGCGCGUAGGUGGCUUGAUAAGCCGGUUGUGAAAGCCCCGGGCUCAACCUGGGAACGGCAUCCGGAACUGUCAAGCUAGAGUGCAGGAGAGGAAGGUAGAAUUCCCGGUGUAGCGGUGAAAUGCGUAGAGAUCGGGAGGAAUACCAGUGGCGAAGGCGGCCUUCUGGACUGACACUGACACUGGGGUGCGAAAGCGUGGGUAGCAAACAGGAUUAGAUACCCCGGUAGUC